UAUUGACACAGUGGAGAAUUACUCAG
rnacentral:piRNA from 1 species